rnacentral:rRNA from 1 species
AGUGAACGCUGGCGGCGUGCCUAAUACAUGCAAGUCGAACGCGAAAGUCCUUCGGGAUGAGUAAAGUGGCGCACGGGUGAGUAAUGGUUGAGAACAUGCCCUGAAGUGGGGAAUAACAGUUGGAAACGACUGCUAAUACCGCAUGGUAACGCAAGUUUAAAGGUGGGGAUCUUCGGACCUACCGCUUCAGGAUUGGCUCAACUCCCAUUAGCUAGUUGGCAGGGUAAUGGCCUACCAAGGCAACGAUGGGUAUGUGGUCUUAGAGGAUGAUCACAAACACUGGAACUGAGACACGGUCCAGACUCCUACGGGAGGCAGCAGUAGGGAAUAUUGCACAAUGGAGGAAACUCUGAUGCAGCAACGCCGCGUGAGUGAAGAAGGCCCUUGGGUCGUAAAGCUCUUUAGCCUGGAAAGAAGUGCCCUUAGGUAAACAAUCUGAGGGUGUGACGGUACCAGGAGAAUAAGGACCGGCUA